rnacentral:rRNA from 1 species
GACGAACGCUGGCGGCGUGCCUAAUACAUGCAAGUAGAACGCAGUUGCGAAAGGGUGAGUAACGCGUAGGUAACUGCCUGGUAGCGGGGGAUAACUAUUGGAAACGAUAGCUAAUACCGCAUACUACCAGAUGGACCUGCGUUGUAUUAGCUAGUUGGUGAGGUAACGGCUCACCAAGGCAACGAUACAUAGCCGACCGGGGAAGGUGAGUGGCCACACGGGAAAUGAGAAACGGCCCAGACUACUACGGGGGGCAGCAGUAGGGACUCUGCGGCAAUGGGGGGAACCCUGACCGAGCAACGCCGCGUGAGUGAAGAAGGUUUUCGGAUCGAAAAGCUAUGUUGUUAAGGAAGAGGUACUUAACCAGAAAAGGACGGCUAACUACGUGCCAGCCGCCGCGGUAAUUC